AGUGAACGCUGGCGGUAGGCCUAACACAUGCAAGUCGAACGGCAGCACAGUAAGAGCUUGCUCUUACGGGUGGCGAGUGGCGGACGGGUGAGGAAUACAUCGGAAUCUACUUUUUCGUGGGGGAUAACGUAGGGAAACUUACGCUAAUACCGCAUACGACCUACGGGGGAAAGCAGGGGAUCUUCGGACCUUGCGCGAUUGAAUGAGCCGAUGUCGGAUUAGCUAGUUGGCGGGGUAAAGGCCCACGAAGGCGACGAUCCGUAGCUGGUCUGAGAGGAUGAUCAGCCACACUGGAACUGAGACACGGUCCAGACUCCUACGGGAGGCAGCAGUGGGGAAUAUUGGACAAUGGGCGCAAGCCUGAUACAGCCAUACCGCGUGGGUGGAGAAGGCCUUCGGGUUGUAAAGCCCUUUUGUUGGGAAAGAAAAGCAGCAGGUUAAUACCCCGCUGUUCUGACGGUACCCAAAGAAUAAGCACCGGCUAACUUCGUG
rnacentral:rRNA from 1 species